rnacentral:piRNA from 1 species
GGUGUAUAGGGAUUAAGAACUUGACUCCU